ACAUGUCUUUUUGAGAUUGAUUUAAAGUCGGGCCUGCCCACUGAGUAUUUUGAAGGGCCGCGGUAUCUUGACCGUGCAAAGGUAGCAUAAUCAUUAGUCUUUUAAUUGAAGGCUGGAAUGAAUGGUUUGACGAAGUAUUAACUGUCUCUUUGUGAAAUUGAUGAAUUUAACUUUUAAGUCAAAAGGCUUAAAUAAAAAUAUAGGACGAGAAGACCCUAUAGAGUUUUAUAUAGAUUAGUGAAUAGAUUUACUUAGAUGUAAUAGUUUUUAUUUAUAAUUUAUAUUAUGUUGGGGUGACUUGAAGAUAUAAUUAACUCUUUAUUGGUAUAAACAUAAAUUUAUGGGUAAUUGAUCCAUUAUUAGUGAUUAUAAGAUAAAAUUACCUUAGGGAUAACAGCGUAAUUUUUCUUAAGAGUUCAUAUUGAAAGAAAAGUUUGCGACCUCGAUGUUGGAUUAAGAGAAUGGGUUGGUGCAGUAGCUAUCUUAAUAAGUCUGUUCGACUUUUAAAAUCUUAC
rnacentral:rRNA from 1 species